rnacentral:tRNA from 1 species
GGGGCCGUGGCUCAACGGUAAAGCGCUCCCCCUCCAGGGGAGAGAUGGCGUGUUCGAUUCACCCCGGCUCCA